UGGUUAUAAUUUAUUUAUUUAUUUUUUAAAUUUUCAUGCAUAUAUAAAACGCUGGUGAAUUUUUAAUUAUAUUGGUAAAUUAAUUAAUCUAUUUUUUUUUAAGUUUCAUUUUGGGUUAUUUUUUUCGUUAGGUUUUGGAGUUGGGAAUUCUUGUGCACUCGGUAAUCAUUGGAAUUUCAUUGGGUACUUCUGAGAGUCCAAAAACUAUUAAGCCUUUGGUUGCAGCGUUGACUUUUCAUCAAUUCUUUGAAGGAAUGGGUCUUGGUGGUUGCAUUACGCAGGUAAUUGAUAUUUUCUAUUUAUGAUUCCAUUUUUUUAAUUAUUAUUUUUACUUUGUAAGUUUUAAUUAAGAUGCUUGAUACAUGGUGCUAACUAGCCAUAAGAAUCAAUUAUCAAAGCACUUUUAUUUUGGAAAACUCUUUUUUUUUUUUUUUUUUUGGUUAGAAAAAGGAAAAAACUUAUUUGAAGUUUUAAAAUUCUCUGUUUUUUUUUUUACGCUGUUGACUAUAUGUGUGUACACAUAUGUAAUACUAAAGUCUUUUUGUGACAAUAUCCACCUAUGUACGUACAAUCAAGUGGACAAUAUGGCUCCAAAUUUCAUUAGUAAUUGAUGUUAACAAUUUUGUUUUAACGUGUUCGUUUUUAUAGGCAAAAUUCAAGUCUCGAGGAGUCGCAAUAUUGGCCUUUUUCUUCUCUUUGACAACCCCAGCCGGGAUAGCAAUAGGCAUUGGAAUAUCAAGUUUUUAUGACGAAAAUGACCCCACUGCUCUUAUUGUUGAAGGGAUAUUCAAUGCAGCAGCAGCUGGAAUCCUAAUAUACAUGUCCUUGGUGGAUCUUCUUGCUGCAGAUUUUAUGAAUCCGAAGAUGCAAGACAAUAAAAGGCUUCAAUUUGGAGCACAUGUUUCUCUUCUUUUAGGAGCUGGUUGCAUGUCCUUGUUAGCCAAAUGGGCUUAAAAAUCAUAGAUAUUUUUUCUGCAAUUUUUGUUUAUCCAAUAGUUUAAUUUGCGGCAGUUUUUGUACAGACAUUUUGAUGGAUGUUUACUAUCUGUAAAAUAACUUAAAUUGAUUAGGGUUAAGUGUAGCGUUUUAAAAUUUAAAGAGGGUAAGUGUCAUAACUCAUUUGAUUUUGGGUGUGAAUCUUUGUAACUUAUAUUUGAAGGGAUCUGUAAUUUUUCCUUGUACAUAUUUUAUUUUAUUUUUGACUAAAGAUCAUUACUCGACGGUGAGCUUUAAAUAAUAAAUUCUACAAAGCCCCUGCCAAAAAGGGGGUAAAAAACAAAAGGAAAGAAAAGAAAAGCUAUGAACUAAUUUGAAAAGAAGAUGAUAAAGAUCAUGGUGAUGAUAUUGACUCAAUUGAGGAAGAAAACUCAAACUCGUAGUGUUUAUCGAUGGCCAUUGAUACAUCAAUAUUACACAUCAAUGUAUGUAUAUACAUACGCACAUCAAUAUUGCUAUGUUUGCAAGUUUAUAAUAAAAAAUAAUUUUGGUAUUCGACCCAAUGUGUUCUUAUAAGAAAAUGACACAUGUCAAAUGAUUACUUAUAUUUUCACUUUCACUUGGUGGUUUGUAUGAACACUUUGUAUAUGCUGUUUUAAUAUCAAAUAUUUCAUAUUAGUUGGGUAUAACCGUAUAAAUUUUAUAUUUUAACUAUACAUAAUUAUAGACUUGAGUGGAAAAUAUAGAUUUAGUUGGUCUUUUAGUGAAAAUAAGGGUAUUACAAACAUUGUCCUUCAUAUGGCAAGCUAGAACAAUAUAUGAAUGGGUCGACGAGGUUAAGUCAAGAGAAACCUAAAAACGCAAGCUGGUUGAAGCCAGCCACUUGCUACUUGCUACUGCCAAAAGAGAGGGAAAACGACAUCGUAAUCCACUAGGUACGGACUACUAAUUAAUUAGCUCAGUUGUCUCCUUUUACUUCCAAAAACGUCCAAACUCAUCUUGUAAAACUUUCAAUAUUCUGAAUUUUGAUUCCUUAAUUUUACUUAAGAAUUUGGUCUUUAUCUAAGUUUUAAAUAAAGUGUUUUAAUAAGUUAUAAAAAAUAAGGGUAAAAGCUCGUUUAAUCCCUAUAUUUUGAAGUUAGUGCCCGUUUAGUCCCUAUAUUUUUAAAAAUACCUCAAACCAUCCCUACCAUUAAAUUAUUGACACUUUUGCCAUUAUCUUUUGUUCCUUUUAACUUAUUUUUAUAAUAUUACCCUAUUAUAAUAAUUUUUUAGACAUUAUUAAAAAGAAAAAAAUAACCCUUUUUUGUUUUUAUUUUAUUUUUGAGUUUAAUUUGAUAAUUUAAUUUUUUAUUAAUAUCCAAAAAAGAAACAUUAUUGUAAAAAUGUAAUAUUGUAAAAGCAAGUUAAAAAUAAUAAAAAAUAAUGGCAUAAGUGUCAAUAUUUAGUAGCAGGGAUGUUUUGAGGUGUUUUUAAAAAUACAGGGACUAAAUGAACACUAACCUCAUAAUAUAGGGACUAAACAAGCUUUUACCCAAAAAAUAAUUAUCAUUUCUCAUAAUUUCAGGGGCAUUCCGAGAAUCGAACUCGGGACCUCUCGCACCCAAAGCGAGAAUCAUACCACUAGACCAAAUGCCCAGCGACAAAGUGAAACUUCCUUACAAAAUAUUAAUCUUAUUUCUAAAUUGAAGUCAUUACACACGCCUUCAUACUUCUUCGUUUCCAUUAAUAAGAAUUUGACUGAGAGAAUGGUGGCAAUUUGAUUCCAUGCAAACAGUCUGAUGGAUGAUCACGACAAAGGUGAAAUUGUUUCUGAGUAAAACUUGGAACAAAACUUGACACGUACAUGAACACAGAGAGUCAAAUUAACAAGCUAGCCAACAUCCAAAAUGGCCUACAAAUUCAUAACAAAACGACAUGGGGAUUUGCCACUUGCCAGAUUCCAAUCUCUAGACAAUGCACACAUCUUUUGGUUGAAACUCGAGCUCUGUUAAAAUAUCUUUUUGUUAAAUAUCUCAAGCUCUGCCAAGGGAGUUGACGUUCAAUCGUUAUCUAAUUCCUAUAUACGUUUCACGUCUCAGGAGCUGAACUAAAGGAUUCAAGUAUAAGAAUAGUAUGUAAUUAUUAAGAUCGUUAACACGUACAAACAUUGCCGAUACUACGAUCAUCAAAUCUGAUUUCAUACUUAACAAAUUAAUUAUUUAUUUAACAAAUUAAUUAGUACCCUAAUUAAUAACUUGAUCAGUGCGGAUAUGAUUUAUGAAACCACGGGGCAACAAAUUGACUACAAGGUAAUAACAUUAAAUGUUGGACUAGUAGCCUGUUACCAUUCAUUCAUUUUUUAUUUUUUUUAACAUUCAUAUAUAAUAUUUAAUAUGAUAUUAAUACAACAUGAUCCCAUGUUACAAGUUAAUUUCAGCAUCAUUGUUAUAGUUUUCAUGUUCGACCUUACAAGCAAACUCCUGAGUCUAUUCAUAUGAGGUGCAAGUGCAAGUAUGCAACUGGCAGAGCUUGAAAAACUUUUUGAGGUUCAUGGUCCUAUGAUAAAGUUAUCAAAAGUAAUUGACAUUAUGCUCUUUAUUUAAUUCUUCUAUAAACUUAUGUCAAAUAAUAGAACCUUAGGAGGGACCCAAUUGGCCAAAUCCCAUCACAGUCUCACAACUGGUCCUGAAGCUUUCUUUUACAUGAACUGCUUAGAAGCAUUUCAGAAUUUUCCUUACCUUUUCUCCUGAAUGAUUUAAGGAAUAAUUGAAAUUAAAAUUGAAUAAUUUUCGUUGCCUUUUUAUCCCAAAAUGGUAUAUUUUCUUGAAUCCAAAACCAGUUUGAAUAUUGAUAUUUGAUGCAGCCCCUUGUAACUACAAAAUAAGAUUUUAGGGUAAAAAACUUUUAAUUAGUUAGGCUAGGGUUUUAUUUUUGACAUAUAUUUUAUUGUUUAAAAGGGAAAACAAAGAAUUAAAUAUAACGUCAUGUUACCCACGAUUUGAUACAAGGAUGAUGAUCCUCUUCUGAUUUGAGCACACCUGAUCUUUUACAGAUCUUGUGUCAUUUGUAUUUUAAUGUUAGUGUAUAAUUAUAAUUUAACUACUUUUUCUUUUUAAUUUAUUAACCACCAAUCAUGUUAAUAAAAUUUACUCAUAAAAAGAUCAGAUCAUGAGAAAAUCUCAAUCCUUGAUACAACUCUCCUUUUUUUUUUUUAAUAUACUUCACACUUUGUAUAAAAAAAUGACCCUUUUUCAUUUUAUUAUUUUAAAAUUGCAUUGACUAAACUGUAAAUAUUGAAUUUUAGAUUUGGUUAGCCAACCAAGAAGAUCGAAAAUCCAGCUAAUACUGUUAUCCGGCUGGCUUGUCAAAGAAAAAAAAAUUAAAUGAGUCAAUUAUUAUUUCAACAUAAUAUCGACAUUGCAAGCUUGACUUCACCAAUUUUAGCCUACAGUUGUAGUGAGAAUGCUUUGAAAUUCCUUUCUGGCUGCUCAGUAUGUCGACAUAUUAUCAACACUUUGCUAUUUUUCAAUCCCUGAGAUUCCCAUCCAAAUUUUCAACUAGCCAGUCCCUAAUUGCAGGCCACUUUUUAAUUCUGUGGUCAAAUUAAUUAUUUCGUCUAAUAAUUACCAUAAUUUUACAAAACAAGAAACAACCCAUGUACAGAAGUUUGAUUCUACUCGUAACUUGAUUCUUACGGAAUCGUGUCCUCAUUAUUUCUUCAAAGCUACUUUUGAGAUGAUCAUCGAACGCUAAAGCGAAUUAAACCUUAAUUGGUACUUAGCGUUUUAAUCCAAUCUCUUCUGUUUGUUCUAUUAAUUUCUUUUAUUUUGUUUUCUUAUUCUCUUUCAGUUUCACUCGAUGGGGUCGGUGCAUGGGUCACAAUGAUUUUAUGAUGCUCUAGAGAUCAACAAUCACGCGCUUUCACAUAAACUCUACGCUAUAAACAAUUUCCUCUCAAAUAUUUUCAUCAUACAAAAAUAAAAAUCGUGAUAUUGUUUUCAGAUUUCAGAUUCUUUAUCAUGAUCACUUCUCAUCGUCUUUUCAUCACUUUCUUUUGCAUUCUUCUAAUACUACUUCCCAACGUAGUACGAGGAGAAUGCACGUGCGAUCCUGAAGACGAGGAUCGAGACAAGACUCAAGCCUUAAAAUAUAAACUCGCCGCAAUCGCUUCGAUACUCGUGGCCGGAGCCAUCGGAGUUUUACUUCCCGUCCUCGGAAAAACUAUCCGGGCACUAAGUCCGGAGAGAAAUAUUUUCUUCCUAAUCAAGGCCUUUGCCGCCGGAGUUAUAUUAUCGACGGGGUUCAUCCACGUGCUUCCCGACGCCUUCGAGAACUUAACGUCGCCCUGCCUCGAUGAACAUCCAUGGGGGGAUUUUCCGUUCACCGGAUUCGCUGCCAUGGUUGCUGCUAUCGGGACUCUGAUGAUUGAUGCUUUUGCAACUUCUUAUGCGACUUCUUAUUAUCGCAAGUCUCACUUUGGUGAAGCGGAGAAUAACGCACCAGAUGAAGAGAAAGUUGGGGAGCAUGCAGGUCACGUGCAUGUUCAUACCCAUGCAACUGAUGGGCAUGCUCAUGGAUUUCUUGAAUAUUCCGGUGAAUCGGAGCUUCUACGACACCGUGUCAUAUCUCUGGUACAACUUAUUUAUUUAUUUUAAAUUUUCACGCAUAUCUAAAGGCGAUGGUGAUUUUUUUUUUUUUGUUUUUAUUUUUGAAGUUUCAUUAUGGUUAUUUUUUCCAUUAGGUUUUGGAGUUGGGAAUUCUUGUGCACUCGGUAAUAAUUGGAAUUUCAUUGGGAGCUUCUGAGAGUCCAAAAACCAUUAAGCCUUUGGUUGCAGCGUUGACUUUUCAUCAAUUCUUUGAAGGAAUGGGUCUUGGUGGUUGCAUUACGCAGGUAAUUAGGAUUUUCUAUUUAUGAUAAUAUUAGGUUUGGCCAAUUUGACAGUUUUCCAUUUUUCUCAUUAAUAUUGUUUUUACUUUGUAAGUUUUAGUUAAAAUGCUUCAUACAUGUACAUGGUGCUAACUAGCCAUAAGAAUUAAUUAUCAAAGCACUUUUUUAUUUCGGAAAACUCUUUUUUUUUUGGGUUAGAAAAAGGAAAAAAACUUAUUUGAAGUCUUAAAAUUCUCUGUUUUUUUUUUUUUUUACGCUGUUGACUGUAUGUGAUACUAAAGUCUUUUUGUGACAAUAUCCACCUAUGUACGUACAAUCAAGUGGACAAUAUGGCUCCAAAUUUCAUUAGUAAUUGAUGUUAACAAUUUUGUUUUAACGUGUUCGUUUUUAUAGGCAAGAUUCAAGUCUCGAGGAGUUGCAAUAUUGGCCUUGUUCUUCUCUUUGACGACCCCAGUUGGGAUAGCAAUAGGCAUUGGAAUAUCAAGUGUUUAUGACGAAAAU
rnacentral:lncRNA from 1 species